UCUGUAUGUGUGUAUCAGUAUGUAUUGGUGGGUAUUGGUCUGUGUGUGUGUAUUGGUAUGUAUGUGUGUAUUGGUGUGUAUUGGUAUGUAUGUGUGUAUUGGUGUGUAUUGGUAUGUAUGUGUGUAUUGGUAUGUAUUGGUGUGUAUUAGUGUGUAUUGGUAUGUAUUAGUGUGUAUUGGAAUGUAUGUGUAUUAGUGUGUAUUGGAAUGUAUGUGUAUUAGUGUGUAUUGGUAUGUAUGUGUGUAUUAGUGUGUAUUGGUAUGUAUUGGUGUGUAUUAGUGUGUAUUACUGUGUACUGGUAUGUAUGUGUGUAUUAGUGUGUGUAUGUGUGUAUUGGUCUGUAUGUGUGUAUCAGUAUGUAUUGGUGGGUAUUGGUCUGUGUGUGUGUAUUGGUAUGUAUGUGUGUAUUGGUGUGUAUUGGUAUGUAUGUGUGUAUUGGUGUGUAUUAGUGUGUAUUGGUGUGUAUUAGUGUGUAUUGGUAUGUAUGUGUGUAUUGGUGUGUAUUAGUGUGUAUUGGUAUGUAUGUGUGUAUGGUUGUGUAUUGAUGUGUAUUGGUAUGUAU
ensembl:lncRNA